AGAACGAACGCUGGCGGCAGGCCUAACACAUGCAAGUCGAACGUGAAGCCACCUUCGGGUGGUGGAAAGUGGCAGACGGGUGAGUAACGCGUGGGAAUCUACCCAAUGGUACGGAAUAACUCAGGGAAACUUGAGCUAAUACCGUAUGUGCCCGAAAGGGGAAAGAUUUAUCGCCAUUGGAUGAGCCCGCGUCUGAUUAGCUAGUUGGCGGGUAAUGGCCCACAAGGCGACGAUCAGUAGCUGGUCUGAGAGGAUGAUCAGCCACACUGGGACUGAGACACGGCCCAGACUCCUACGGGAGGCAGCAGUGGGAAUAUUGGAC
rnacentral:rRNA from 1 species